AUGGACGAAAGUCUGACGGAGCAACGCCGCGUGAGUGAUGAAGGUUUUCGGAUCGUAAAACUCUGUUGUUAGGGAAGAACAAGUACGAGAGUAACUGCUCGUACCUUGACGGUACCUAACCAGAAAGCCACGGCUAACUACGUGCCAGCAGCCGCGGUAAUACGUAGGUGGCAAGCGUUGUCCGGAAUUAUUGGGCGUAAAGCGCGCGCAGGCGGUCCUUUAAGUCUGAUGUGAAAGCCCACGGCUCAACCGUGGAGGGUCAUUGGAAACUGGGGGACUUGAGUGCAGAAGAGAAGAGUGGAAUUCCACGUGUAGCGGUGAAAUGCGUAGAGAUGUGGAGGAACACCAGUGGCGAAGGCGACUCUUUGGUCUGUAACUGACGCUGAGGCGCGAAAGCGUGGGGAGCAAACAGGAUUAGAUACCCUGGUAGUCCACGCCGUAAACGAUGAGUGCUAAGUGUUAGAGGGUUUCCGCCCUUUAGUGCUGCAGCAAACGCAUUAAGCACUCCGCCUGGG
rnacentral:rRNA from 1 species